rnacentral:tRNA from 14 species
CGGGGAGUAGCGCAGUCUGGUAGCGCAUCUGCUUUGGGAGCAGAGGGUCGCUGGUUCGAAUCCAGUCUCCCCGACCA